rnacentral:rRNA from 1 species
AUGCACGCUGGCGGGGUGCCUAAUCCAUGCCAGUCGAGCGAACAGACGAGGAGCUUGCUCCUCUGACGUUAGCGGCGGACGGGUGAGUAACACGUGGAUAACCUACCUAUAAGACUGGGAUAACUUCGGGAAACCGGAGCUAAUACCGGAUAAUAUAUUGAACCGCCUGGUUCAAUAGUGAAAGACGGUUUUGCUGUCACUUAUAGAUGGAUCCGCGCCGCAUUAGCUAGUUGGUAAGGUAACGGCUUACCAAGGCAACGAUGCGUAGCCGACCUGAGAGGGUGAUCGGCCACACUGGAACUGAGACACGGUCCAGACUCCUACGGGAGGCAGCAGUAGGGAAUCUUCCGCAAUGGGCGAAAGCCUGACGGAGCAACGCCGCGUGAGUGAUGAAGGUCUUCGGAUCGUAAAACUCUGUUAUUAGGGAAGAACAAAUGUGUAAGUAACUAUGCACGUCUUGACGGUACCUAAUCAGAAAGCCACGGCUAACUACGUG